CACACAGUUGGCUAGAAUGGCUAUGAUUCUUGCCCGGGGCGCAAGAGAUCGCCGGUUCGAAUCCGGUCUGGCCCA
rnacentral:tRNA from 1 species